rnacentral:rRNA from 1 species
CCUACGGGCGGCUGCAGUGGGGAAUAUUGCACAAUGGGCGCAAGCCUGAUGCAGCCAUGCCGCGUGUGUGAAGAAGGCCUUCGGGUUGUAAAGCACUUUCAGCGGGGAGGAAGGCGGUGAGGUUAAUAACCUCAUCGAUUGACGUUACCCGCAGAAGAAGCACCGGCUAACUCCGUGCCAGCAGCCGCGGUAAUACGGAGGGUGCAAGCGUUAAUCGGAAUUACUGGGCGUAAAGCGCACGCAGGCGGCCUGUCAAGUCGGAUGUGAAAUCCCCGGGCUCAACCUGGGAACUGCAUUCGAAACUGGCAGGCUAGAGUCUUGUAGAGGGGGGUAGAAUUCCAGGUGUAGCGGUGAAAUGCGUAGAGAUCUGGAGGAAUACCGGUGGCGAAGGCGGCCCCCUGGACAAAGACUGACGCUCAGGUGCGAAAGCGUGGGGAGCAAACAGGAUUAGAUACCCUUGUAGUC